GAUGAACGCUGGCGGCGUGCCUAAUACAUGCAAGUCGAACGCUGGAGAUCUAGCUUGCUAGAUCGAAGGAGUGGCGAACGGGUGAGUAAUACAUAAGCAACCUACCCACGAAGACUGGGAUAAUCUCUGGAAACGGGGACUAAUACCGGAUAGGUAAUCGGAAGGCAUCUUCUGGUUAUUAAAGGUUACAAACACUGGUGGAUGGGCUUAUGGCGCAUUAGUUAGUUGGUGAGGUAACGGCCCACCAAGACGAUGAUGCGUAGCCGGCCUGAGAGGGUGAACGGCCACAUUGGGACUGAGACACGGCCCAG
rnacentral:rRNA from 1 species